rnacentral:rRNA from 1 species
GAAUAUUGGACAAUGGGGGGAACCCUGAUCCAGCCAUGCCGCGUGUGUGAAGAAGGCCUUUUGGUUGUAAAGCACUUUAAGCGAGGAGGAGGAGCUCUUGGUUAAUACCCAAGAUGCUUGGACGUUACUCGCAGAAUAAGCACCGGCUAACUCUGUUCCAGCCGCCGCGGUAAUACAGAGGGUGCAAGCGUUAAUCGGAUUUACUGGGCGUAAAGCGCACUUAGGUGGCCAAUUAAGUCAAAUGUUAAAUCCCCGAGCUUAACUUGGGAAUUGCAUUCGAUACUGGUUGGCUAGAGUGUGGGAGAGGAUGUUAUAAUUCCAAUUAUAUCACUGACAUCCGUAGAUCUCUAGAGCCCUCCCACUGUCGAAGCCACCCAUCUGGCCUAAUACUGACACUGAGGUGCGAAAGCAUGGGGAGCAAACA